UAGGGAAUCUUCGGCAAUGGACGGAAGUCUGAACGAGCAACGCCGCGUGAGUGAAGAAGGUUUUCGGAUCGUAAAGCUCUGUUGUUAGAGAAGAACGUUGGUAGGAGUGGAAAAUCUACCAAGUGACGGUAACUAACCAGAAAGGGACGGCUAACUACGUGCCAGCAGCCGCGGUAAUACGUAGGUCCCGAGCGUUGUCCGGAUUUAUUGGGCGUAAAGCGAGGGCAGGCGGUUCUUUAAGUCUGAAGUUAAAGGCAGUGGCUUAACCAUUGUACGCUUUGGAAACGGGGGGACUUUGGUGCAGAAGGGGAGAGUGGAAUUCCAUGUGUAGCGGUGAAAUGCGUAGAUAUAUGGAGGAACACCGGUGGCGAAAGCGGCUCUCUGGUCUGUAACUGACGCGGAGGCUCGAAAGCGUGGGGAGCAAACAGG
rnacentral:rRNA from 1 species